CGCGUAGACGGUUUUGUAAGUCAGAUGUGAAAUCCCUGGGCUCAACCUGGGAACUGCAUUUGAAACUGCAUGGCUAGAGUAUGGAAGAGGGAAGUGGAAUUUCCGGUGUAGCGGUGAAAUGCGUAGAUAUCGGAAGGAACACCAGUGGCGAAAGCGACUUCCUGGUCCAAUACUGACGUUCAUGUGCGAAAGCGUGGGGAGCAAACAGGAUUAGAUACCCUGGUAGUCCACGCCAUAAACGAUGACAACUAGAUGUUGGGAGGGUCUGCCUCUCGGUGUCGCAGCUAACGCGUUAAGUUGUCCGCCUGGGGAGUACGGCCGCAAGGUUGAAA
rnacentral:rRNA from 1 species